rnacentral:rRNA from 1 species
UACGUAGGGGGCAAGCGUUGUCCGGAAUCAUUGGGCGUAAAGAGCGCGUAGGCGGCCCGAUAAGUCCGCUGUGAAAGUCAAGGGCUCAACCCUUGAAUGCCGGUGGAUACUGUCGGGCUAGAGUCCGGAAGAGGCGAGUGGAAUUCCUGGUGUAGCGGUGAAAUGCGCAGAUAUCAGGAGGAACACCUGCGGCGAAGGCGGGUUGCUGGGCUGAUACUGACGCUGAGGCGCGAAAGCCAGGGGAGCGAACGGG